rnacentral:lncRNA from 1 species
CUUCAGUAUCGUGACCGUGGUCACGAUAAUAAUGGCAGUGCUUAUUUGGAUUGUGAUGGUACUCUGGCUUUAUCUAUAUCUGAGGAGGUUGGGGAAGCUCGAUCCGAAUUUUCAUCAACACCUCCCCCCUAGAAGCAGUUAAGAGUGUGUAAUUACAAUAAUGCCCAAGGGGUGAGGGUCGUCGAUCCCUUCUUUAAGAACUUUGAGAUCGAUGGUUUCAGUCUCCGUUCUUCUACCUCUAGAAUGGAGAUCGGGAGCAUUGAUGAUUUUUUUCCUCCCACCU